UACGUAGGGGGCGAGCGUUGUCCGGAGUUACUGGGCGUAAAGCGCACGCAGGCGGUCUGCUAAGUUUGGAGUGACAGUUGGUGGCUCAACCACCAAAGUGCUUCGAAAACUGACAGACUUGAGGGCUUCAGAGGGACACGGAAUUCCGGGUGGAGUGGUGAAAUGCGUAGAGAUCCGGAGGAACACCUAAGGCGAAGGCAGUGUCCUGGGGAGUACCUGACGCUCAGGUGCGAAAGCUAGGGGAGCGAACGGG
rnacentral:rRNA from 1 species